GGGACAGUGAGUGACAACGUCAGCUUUACACCAUGUCUCCUGCAGAAUGAUGACCUCUCUGUAGCCUGUGGGACAGUGAGUGACAACGUCAGCUUUACACCAUGUCUCCUGCAGAAUGAUGACGUCAACAUCUUUAAGAUGUGUGUUAAACUCUUCAGUCUAGAGGUUGGUGAGUUUAGGCCCUGAAUGUUCCACAUGCUAACUAAUAGGUUGGUGAGUUUAGGCCCUGAAUGUUCCACAUGCUAACUGAUAGGUUGGUGAGUUUAGGCCCUGAAUGUUCCACAUGCUAACUGAUAGGUUGAUGAGUUUAGGCCCUGAAUGUUCCACAUGCUGACUGAUAGGUUGAUGAGUUUAGGCCCUGAAUGUUCCACAUGCUGACUGAUAGUGAUUUCAUGUUGCAGAAAGAAAGAAUAGCAGUCAGAAAUACAGUAACUAAUAACUAAUAAGUAGAGAGAUAAACAGGAUAACAGCUAACAACAACAUCUGUUAUAUACACUACCGUUCAAAAGUUUGGGGUCACUUUGAAAGAAAAGCACAUUUUUUGUCCAUUUAAAAUAACAUCAAAUUGAUCAGAAAUACAGUGUAGACAUCGUUAAUGUUGUAAAUGACUGUUGUAGCUGGAAACGGCAUAUUUUUUAUGGGAAUAUCUACAUAGGCGUACAGAGGCCCAUUAUCAGCAACCAUCACUCCUGUGUUCCAUUGGCAUGUUGUGUUAGCUAAUCCAAGUUUAUAAUUUUAAAAGGCUAAUUGAUGUUUACAAAACCCUUUUGCAAUUUUGUCAGCACAGCCGAAUACUGCUGUUCUGGUUAAAGAAGCAAUACAACUGUCAUUCUUUACACUAGUUGAGUAUCUGGAGCAUCAGCAUUUGAGGGUUCGAUUACAGGCUCAAAAUGGCCAGAAACAAAGACCUUUCUUCUGAAACUCGUCAGUCUAUUCUUGUUCUGAGAAAUGAGGCUAUUCCAUGCGAGAAAUGGCCAAGAAACUGAGGAUCUCGUACAACGUUGUGUACUACUCCCUUCACAGAACAGCACAAACGGGCUCUAACCAGAAUAGAAAGAGGAGUGGGAGGCCCCGGUGCACAACUGAGCAAGAGGACAAGUACAUUAGUGUUUAGUUUGAGAAACAGAUGCCUCACAAGUCCUCAACUGGCAGCUUCAUUAAAUAGUACCCGUAAAACACCAGCCUCAAUGCCAACAGUGAAGAGGCGACUCCGGGAUACUCACUCAGUUUUGUGUUGGAUGGUAUUUCCAGGUUUCUUUUGCAGGUUUUGGUUUGUCUUACAAAGCCCUACUGCCUCUUCUCUGGCUCUCUCGAUCAGGACAGAAUGCUACGGUAGGUUUAGCAUUAGAGUGCUCUCUCGAUCAGGACAGAAUGCUACGGUAGGUUUAGCAUUAGAGUGCUCUCUCGAUGAGGACAGAAUGCUACGGUGGGCUAUAUCCUGCCUGGUUAGCCCUGUCCGGGGGUAUCGUCGGACUGGGUCACAGUGUCCCUCAACCCCCCCCCCUGUCUCAGACUCCAGUACCUAUGCUGCAAUAUGUGCCGGGUGGUUAGGGUCAGUCUGUCCUAUCUGGUGUAAUUCUCCCGUCUUAUCUGGUGUCCCGUGUGAACAUAAGUAUUCUCUCUCUCUCUCCUCUUUCUCUUAUCUCUCAUUGGCAUGCUGACUACAGAAAUGCCCACUUGAGCUGUUGCCAGGGAAUGUAAUGUUAAUUUCUCUACCAUAAGCCGCCUUCAAUGUCAUUUUAGAGAAUUUGGCAGUACGUCAAACCGGACUCACAACCGCAGAACACGUGAAACCACGCCAGCCCAGGACCUCCCCAUCCAGCUUCUUCACCUGUGGGAUCGUCUGAGACCAGCCACCGGGACAGCUGAUCAAACUGUGGGUUUGCACAACCCAAGAACUUCUCCUCAAACUAUCAGAAACAGUCUCAGGGAAGCUCAUCUGCGUGCUCAUCGUCCUCACCAGGGUCGUGACCUGACUGCAGUUCGACGUCGUAACAGACUUCAGUGGGGAAAUGCUCACCUUUGAUGGCCCCUGGCAACCUGGAUAAGUAUGCUCUUCACGGAUGAAUCCCGUUAUCAGCCGGUCAGAUGGCAUACAGCGUAAGAAUACGCUACGGACAAGUCUGUACACAAUUCCUGGAAGCUGAAAAUGUCCCAGUUCCUCCAUGGCCUGUAUACUUAACAGACGUGUCACCCAUUGAGCAUCGUUGUGUAUGACAGCGUGUUCCAGCCAUUGAAGAGGAGUGGGACAACAUUUCACAGGCCACAACCAACAGCCUGAUUAACUCUAUGCAAAGGAGAUGUGUCACGCUGCAUGAGGCAAAUUAUGGUCACACCAGAUACUGACUGGUAUCUGUGACCAACAGAUGCAUAUCUGUACUCCCAUGUGAAAUCCAUAAAUUAGGGCCUAAUGAAUUUAUUCAAAUUGACAAAUGGAAACUGUAACUCAGUAAAAUAUCUGAAAAUAUUGUUCCAUCUAUAUUUCUGUUCAGUGUAAUAAAAACAUGUACGUUGAAUAGUCAAUGAGUAUUCAACCCCUUCGUUGUGGAAAACAAGCCUAGUUCAGGAGUAAACAAAUGCUUAACAAGUAAUAAUUUGUAUGGAAAGUUUCUAACAUGCUUCUUGUGUAUAAUGACUCCUCAUCUCUGUACCUAACCCUUCUGUAUAAUGAUGACUCCUAAUCUCUGUACCCCACACAUACAAUUAUCUGGAAGGUCCCUCAUUCCAGCAGUGAAUUUCAAAACACAGAUUCAACCACAAAGACCAGGGAGGUUUUCCAAUGCCUCGUAAAGAAGGGCACCUAUUUGUGAAUGGGUAAAAACAUAUAUUUUUUUAAAGCAGACAUUGAAUAUCCCUUUGAGGCUAAGUUAUUAAUUACUUUGGAUGGUGUGUCACCCAGUCACUACAAAGAUACAGGCGUCCUUCCUAACUCAGUUGCCGGAGCUGAAGGAAACAGCUCAGAUAUUUCACCAUGUGGCCAAUGGUGACUUUAAAACAGCUACAAGGUUGAAAGGCUGUGAUAGGAGAAGACCGAGGAUGGAUCAACAACAGUGUAGUUACACCACAAUAGUAACCAAUAGUAACCUGAUUGACAGAGUGAAAACAAGGCACUAACGUAGUACUGCAAAAAAUGUGGCUAAGCAAUUCACAUUUUGUUCUGAAUACAAAAGUGCUACGUUUGGGGCAAAUCCAAGCUUUUUGUUUGGGGCAAAUCCAAGCUUUUUCCACAUUUUGUUACGUUACAGCCUAAUUCUAAAAUUGAUUAAAUCUACAUACAAUACCCCAUAACGGCAAAGUGAAAACAGGUUUAGACAUUUUUGCAAAUGUAUUAAAAACAAAAAUACCUUAUUUACAUAUGUAUUCAGACCCUUUGCUAUAAGAUUCGAAAUUAAGUUCAGGUGCAUCCAGUUUCCAUUCAUCAUCCUUGAGAUGUUUCUACAAGUUGAUUGGAUUUGGAAAGGCACACACCUGUCUAUAUAAGGUCCCACAGUUGACAUUGCAUGUCAGAGCAAAAACCAAGCCAUGAGGUCGAAGGAAUGGUCCGUAGAGCUCCGAGACAGGAUUGUGUCGAGGCACAGAUCUGGGGAAGGGUACAAAAAAAUGUCUACAGCAUUGAAGGUCCCCAAGAACAGUGGCCUCCAUCAUUCGUAAAUGGAAGAAGUUUGGAACCACCAAGACUCUUCCUAGAGCUGGUCACCCUGUCAAACUGAGCAGAGAAGGGCCUUGGUCAGGAAGGUGACCAAGAACCCGAUGGUCACUCUGACAGCUCUAGAGUUCCUCUGUGGAGAUGGGAGAACGUUCCAGAAGGACAAUCAUCUCUGCAGCACUCCACCAAUCAGGCCUUUACGGGAGAGAGGCCAGACAGAAGUCACUUCUCAGUAAAAGGCACAUGGCAGCCUGCUUGGAGUUUGGGGCGAAGGUUCACCUUCCAACAGGACAGCGAUCCUAAGCACACAGCCAAGACAACGCAGAAGUGGCUUCGGGACAAGUCUGAAUCCUUGAGUGGCCCAGCCAGAGCUCGGACUUGAACCCCGAUCAAACAUCUCUGGAGAGACCUGAAAAUAGCUGUGUAGUGACGCUCCCCAUCCAACCUGACAGAGCUUGAGAGGUUCUGUAGAGAAGAAUGGGUUAAACUCCACAAAUACAGGUGUGCUAAGCUUGUAGCAUCAUACCCAAGAAGACUCGAGGCUGUAAAUGCUGCCAAAGGUGCUUCAACAAAGUACUGAGUAAAGGGUCUGAAUACUUAUGUAAAUGUGAUAUGUCAGUAUAAAAAAAGAAAACGUUUUCGCUUUGUCAUUAUGGUGUAUUGUGAUGUCAUUAUGGUGUAUUGUGAUGUCAUUAUGGUGUAAUUGUGAUGUCAUUAUGGUGUAUUGUGAUGUCAUUAUGGUGUAUUGUGAUGUCAUUAUGGUGUAAUUGUGAUGUCAUUAUGGUGUAUUGUGUUGUCAUUAUGGUGUAUUGUGUGUAGAUUGAUGAGGUAAAAAAACUAUGUAAUCCAUUUUAGAAUAAUGCUGUAAAGUAACAAGAUAUGGAAAAAGUCAAGGGGUCUGAAUACUUUCCGAAUGCACUCUAGUGGUAGCUGUGAGAUGAAUUCACAUUUCAGCAGAACAUUAGCCUAAAACACAAGGCCAAAUCUACACUGGAGUUGCUUACCAAGAAGACAGUGGUGGAGUUACAGUUUUGACUUAAAUCUGCUUGAAAAUCUAGGGCAAGACCUGAAAAUUGUUGUCUAGCAAUGAUCAACAACCAACUUGACAGAGGUUGAAGAAUUUUGAAAAAAAUAAUGGGAAAAUAUUGCACAAUCAACGUGUGGAAAGCUCUUAGAGACUUACCUAGAUAAAUCUGUCAAAGGUGCUUUUACAAAGUAUUGACUGAGGGAUGUGAAUAGUUAAGUAAAUUAGAUAUUUCUGUACUUGAAGCACGGGAAUGGCAACAUCAUGUUGUGAGGGUGCUUUACUGCAGGAGGGACUGGUGCACUUCACAAAAUAGACAGCUUCACGAGGAAGGAAAACUAUGUGGAUGUAUUGAAGCAACAUCUCAAGACAUCAGUCAGGAAGUUAAAGCUUGGACGCAAAUGGGUCUUCCAAAUGGACAAUGAUCCCAUGCAUACUUCCAAAGUUGUGGCAAACUGGCUUAAGAACAACAAAGUCAAGGUAUUGGAGUGGCCAUCCCAAAGCCCUGACCUCAAUCCCAUUGAAAAUUUGUGGGCAGAACUGAAAAAGCGUGUGCGAGCAAGGAGGCCUACAAACCUGACUCAGUUAUACCAGCUCUGUCAGAAGGAAUGGGCCAAAGUUCACCCAACUUAUUGUGGGAAGCUUGUGGAAGGCUAACCUGAAACAUUUGACCAAAGUUUAACAAUUUAAAGGCAAUGCUAGCAAAUACUAACUGAGUGUAUGUAAACGUCUGACCCAAACGUCUGUAAACGUCUGGGAAUGUGAUGAAAUAAAUAAAAGCUGAAAUAAAUCAUUCUCUCUACUAUUAUUCUGACAUUUCACAUUCUUAAAAUGAAGUGGUGAUCCUAACUGAUCUAAGACAGGGAAUUUAUACUGGGAUUAAAUGUCAGGAAUUGUGAAAAACUGAGUUUAAAUGUAUUUGGCUGAGGUGUAUGUAAACUUCCGACUUCAACUGUAUUUAUGGGACUGUAUAGAAUGUAUCAACGUCAGCAGUUGAAAGAGAUAAAUUGCAUAAUUUCACAUUUUUUCAUCAAAUUACGAUAAAUAACUCUACAUUAAUAUUUACAGCCACACAACUGAUGUAUAAACUGUGGAAGACGUGUUCUAUCUGGAGUUAAUAAACUGGAAGACGUGUUCUAUCUGGAGUUAAUAAACUGGAAGACGUGUUCUAUCUGGAGUUAAUAAACUGGAAGACGUGUUCUAUCUGGAGUUAAUAAACUGGAAGAUGUGUUCUAUCUGGAGUUAAUAAACUGGAAGACGUGUUCUAUCUGGAGUUAAUAAACUGGAAGACGUGUUCUAUCUGGAGUUAAUAAACUGGAAGACGUGUUCUAUCUGGAGUUAAUAAACUGGAAGACGUGUUCUAUCUGUAGUUAAUAAACUGGAAGACGUGUUCUAUCUGGAGUUAAUAAACUGGAAGACGUGUUCUAUCUGGAGUUAAUAAACUGGAAGACG
ensembl:lncRNA